rnacentral:rRNA from 1 species
CAGAAUCCGGUUGAUCCUGCCGGACCUGACUGCUAUCGGAUUGAUACUAAGCCAUGCGAGUCAUUGUAGCAAUACAAGGCAGACGGCUCAGUAACGCGUAGUCAAUCUACCCUAUGGACGGGAAUAACCUCGGGAAACUGAGAAUAAUGCCCGAUAGAACAUUAUGCCUGGAAUGGUUUAUGUUUCAAAUGAUUUAUCGCCAUAGGAUGGGACUGCGGCCUAUCAGUUUGUUGGUGAGGUAAUGGCCCACCAAGACUAUUACAGGUACGGGCUCUGAGAGGAGUAGCCCGGAGAUGGGUACUGAGACACGGACCCAGGCCCUAUGGGGCGCAGCAGGCGAGAAAACUUUGCAAUGUGCGAAAGCACGACAAGGGUAAUCCGAGUGGUUUCUGCUAAAGAAACCUUUUGUCAGUCCUAGAAACACUGAUGAAUAAGGGGUGGGCAAGUUCUGGUGUCAGCCGCCGCGGUAAAACCAGCACCUCAAGUGGUCAGGAUGAUUAUUGGGCCUAAAGCAUCCGUAGCUCGUUUUGUAAGUUUUCGGUUAAAUCCAUGCGCUUAACGUAUGGGCUGCCGGGAAUACUGCAUAACUAGGAAGUGGGAGAGGUAGACGGUACUCGGUAGGAAGGGGUAAAAUCCUUUGAUCUAUUGAUGACCACCUGUGGCGAAGGCGGUCUACCAGAACACGUUCGACGGUGAGGGAUGAAAGCUGGGGGAGCAAACCGGAUUAGAUACCCGGGUAGUCCCAGCUGUAAACGAUGCA